rnacentral:rRNA from 1 species
GCAUGGCUGUCGUCAGCUCGUGUUGUGAAAUGUUGGGUUAAGUCCCGCAACGAGCGCAACCCCUAUUGUUAGUUGCCAUCAUUCAGUUGGGCACUCUAGCGAGACUGCCGGUAAUAAACCGGAGGAAGGUGGGGAUGACGUCAAAUCAUCAUGCCCCUUAUGAUUUGGGCUACACACGUGCUACAAUGGCGGUGACAAUGGGCAGCGAAGGGGCGACCUGGAGCGAAUCCCCAAAAGCCGUCUCAGUUCGGAUUGCACUCUGCAACUCGGGUGCAUGAAGGUGGAAUCGCUAGUAAUCGCUG